rnacentral:rRNA from 1 species
UACGAAGGGAGCUAGCGUUGUUCGGAAUCACUGGGCGUAAAGCGCACGUAGGCGGAUGUGUCAGUCAGGGGUGAAAUCCCGGAGCUCAACUUCGGAACUGCCCUUGAUACAGCACGUCUUGAGUCCGGAAGAGGUGGGUGGAAUUCCUAGUGUAGAGGUGAAAUUCGUAGAUAUUAGGAAGAACACGGUGGCGAAGGCGGCCCACUGGUCCGGUACUGACGCUGAGGUGCGAAAGCGUGGGGAGCAAACAGGAU